rnacentral:rRNA from 1 species
AUUGAACGCUGGCGGCAGGCCUAACACAUGCAAGUCGAGCGGGGUUUUCGGACCUAGCGGCGGACGGGUGAGUAAUGCGUAGGAAGCUACCCGAUAGAGGGGGAUACCAGUUGGAAACGACUGUUAAUACCGCAUAAUGUCUACGGACCAAAGUGUGGGACCUUCGGGCCACAUGCUAUCGGAUGCGCCUACGUGGGAUUAGCUAGUUGGUGGGGUAAUGGCUCACCAAGGCGACGAUCCCUAGCUGGUUUGAGAGGAUGAUCAGCCACACUGGAACUGGGACACGGUCCAGACUCCUACGGGAGGCAGCAGUGGGGAAUAUUGGACAAUGGGCGCAAGCCUGAUCCAGCCAUGCCGAGUGUGUGAAGAAGGCCUUCGGGUUGUAAAGCACUUUCAGUAGGGAGGAAGAGUUGAGUGUUAAUAGUACUCAGCUUUGACGUUACCUACAGAAGAAGCACCGGCUAACUCUGUGCCAGCCGCCGCCGUAACAC